GACGAACGCUGGCGGCGUGCCUAACACAUGCAAGUCGAACGAGUGGCGGACGGGUGAGUAACCCGUGGGAACCUACCAAUCAGAGGGGGACAACAAUUGGAAACAGGAGCUAAUACCGCAUACUGAUGGAUGGACCCGAGGUGCAUUAGCUAGUUGGUGGGGUAACGGCUCAUCUUGGCGACGAUCUCUAGCUGGUCGUAGAGGAUGACCAGCCACACUGGAACGGAGACACGGUCCAGACUCCUACGGGAGGCAGCAGUGGUGAAUAUUGCACAAUGGGCGCAAGCCUGAUGCAGCCAUGCCGCGUGUAUGAAGAGGGCCUUCGGGGUGUAAAGCACUUUCAGCGGGGAGGCGUUACCCGCAGAAGAAGCACUGGCUAACUCCGUGCCAGCAGCCGCGGUAAUAC
rnacentral:rRNA from 1 species